CCAAGGAGUCUAACAUGUGCGCGAGUCGUCGAGUCGAUAACUAAACUCGCGAGGCGCAAUGAAAGUAAAGUGUCCCCGAUGAGGGUGCAGCACGAUGGGAGAUGCCGUCUCUAUAACAAACCGGAGCGGCCGCAUCCCAAGGGCGUUCGAUGCCGCGCCUCAGCCGGCCGAACGAACCCAGAGCGUACACGUUGGGACCCGAAAGAUGGUGACCUAUGCCUGACCAGGACGAAGCCAGGGGAAACCCUGGUGGAGGUCCGCAGCGAUUCUGACGUGCAAAUCGAUCGUCGGAGUUGGGUAUAGGGGCGAAAGACUAAUCGAACCAUCUAGUAGCUGGUUCCCCCCGAAGUUCCCUCAGGAUAGCUGGUGCUCGCAGAGAAAACGAACGGAGUUUCAUCCGGUAAAGCGAAUGAUUAGAGGCCUUGGGGUCGAAACGACCUCAACCUAUUCUCAAACUUUCAAUGGGUGAGAAGCCCGGCUUAUCAAUGCUUAAAUUGAAGCCGUCGGCAUUAUAAACUGAAUCUGAGCGCCCAGUGGGCCAAUUUUGGUAAGCAGAACUGGCGCUGUGGGAUGAACCAAACGCGCGGUUAAGGGCCAAAACGACGCACAUUUCGGAUCCCACGAAAAGGAGUUGGUUGCUAAAGACAGCAGGACGGUGGCCAUGGAGGUCGGAAUCCGCUCAGGAGUGUGUAACAACUCACCUGCCGAAGCAACUAGCCCUUAAAAUGGGAGGCGCUAUAGCGUCGUGCCUAUACCGUGCCGCCGGUCGGCAGCGUGAUUGUCGUGGCUCGCACAGAGCUUUUAUACGGCACUGAAGCCCCGGUGAGUAGGGGGGUCGCGACGGUGAGCGUUGAAGGGUUGUGGGCGCGAGCCUGCCCGGAGCCGCCGUCGGUGCAGAUCUUGGUGGUAGUAGCAAAUCUCCAGAGG
rnacentral:rRNA from 1 species